AAAGUACUAGUAAAUACAUUACAUUAUUUUGUCAAGAUAAAAUUAUGAGUUAAAAUCUCAUGUACUUUA
ensembl:Mt_tRNA